UGAACGUUCACAGUUGUCCUCCAGACGGUCGAGUUGUCUCAUCAUGCGCCGCCUGCUGAUACUCGUGGCAAUGGUGCUCCUCAUCUCUGGCACCUGCAUAUCUGCUCCACAGCCACCGGGCGGUGGACAAGGCUUGGUUCCACUUCCACGUCCACCCCCUUUACGUAAGGCCCGUCUUUUUGUCACUUAUCCCCAGACUGGUGCUUCCAAUGCGACCAAGGGAUAGUAAAUCCGUAGCUGGGGACUACUCAUCACAAAGCCAGUGUGGUCCCUACUACAGGAUCAGCAACUACUACAAAUCCAGCAACAAAUGCUUUCAGCAAGCCUGCUUGUCUCCCAUCUCCAUCCUGCUUGUCUUCACUAUCCUGCUACACGUGACCCGCUGACGUACCCUGUACUCAGUGUCAGUGAACAGAUACAACAGUGAACAUUCAGUAACCGCUCUGACAGCAAAUAUUAUCACAAUGUGGUGACAACACACCUUCACUAACAUGUGGCCAGCAGUAACACACAGCAGUAAGAACGAUGGCCAACAAACAAACAAACAUAAACAAGUGAGAUGCUGCACUUUACAAACAACAAACAUAAACAAGUGAGAUGCUGCACUUUACAAACAAACAAACAUAAACAAGUGAGAUGCUGCACUUUACAAACAAACAAACAUAAACAAGUGAGAUGCUGCACUUGACAAACAAAUGUUUCUGCUACUAGACGACAUUGUGUUUAUCUACAAUACAAAAUGUUUUUAUAAUGUUGUCAAUGUUAGCUGUAGUCUGUAGUUUAUCUUACUCCAAUGUCUUGUCAGUGUACUGCCACAAGCUUCAGUGUAGAUAAAUGACAUCCUGUAGGCUCACUGUGUCGACUGUAGCCCUAUGAUGACUCUUGUCAUCGUGUCACGUGCAGCUUGAAACAUUGUCCACGAUGUCCUUACACACAAGCUCUCUGUUAUAUCUGUGUGUUCACUUCACUCUUGCUCCAUCUUUUAGUCUGCUUCUGCUGCUGGAUGAAAUAAUCUUGAAGUAAACAUUUAUAUCUUCAAUCAA